AUGGCUCGCGGGCUCGCGGCGGCUCUGCUGGCGCUGCUAGCGGCAGCGUCAGUGUCAUUGCCGUCCGCCGCCGCCCCGGCCGACCAGGAGGGCGACCGGAUCCGGGAGCUCCCGGGGCAGCCGCCCAACGUGGACUUCUCGCAGUACUCGGGCUACGUCACGGUCAACCCGGCCCGCGGCCGCGCGCUCUUCUACUGGCUCGUGGAGGCGGCGCCGGCGGCCGGGCCCAUCGCGCCGCUCGUCCUCUGGCUCAACGGCGGGCCUGGCUGCUCCUCCGUCGGCUACGGCGCCUCCGAGGAGGUCGGCCCCUUCCGUAUCCGGCCCGACGGGAAGACGCUCUACCACAACAAGAAUUCCUGGAACAAGGCGGCCAAUUUGCUCUUCUUGGAGUCGCCGGCCGGCGUGGGCUUCUCCUACUCCAACACGUCGAUGGAUCUGUACACCGCCGGAGACGCCAAGACAGCACUGGAUGCCUACGCUUUUCUGGUGAACUGGCUCGAGAGAUUCCCACAGUACAAGUACAGGGAGUUCUACAUUGCUGGAGAGAGCUAUGCAGGCCAUUAUGUUCCCCAGCUAGCCAAGCUCAUAUACGAAAAGAACAAUGGCACUCAGAAUCCAACAAUUAACCUCAAAGGAUUCCUGGUGGGGAAUGCGGUUACCGACGACUACAAUGACUAUCUUGGCACAUUUGAAUACUGGUGGAGUCAUGGCCUGAUCUCUGACAGCACUUACCACAACUUGAAGAAGACAUGCUUGUUUGAUUCAUCAGAGCACCCUUCCCCUGAAUGUGUCAAGAACCUGAACCUGGCUAGUUCCGAAGAAGGCAACAUCGACCCUUAUAGCCUGUACACAAAGCCCUGCAAUAGCUCAGCCUCUCUCAAACUUGGCCUGGGGGGACGCUAUCCUUGGUUGUCCAGAGCUUAUGAUCCUUGCACCGAAAGAUAUUCAAAUAUAUACUACAAUCUGCCAGAAGUGCAGGCGGCGUUACACGCUAACACAACUGGAAUUAAAUACCCUUGGAAAACUUGCAGUGAUAUUGUUGGAUCGUAUUGGGCGGAUUCCCCCAGAUCUAUGCUUCCUAUCUACCAUGAGUUAAUUGCAGCUGGUAUCAAGAUAUGGGUAUUCAGUGGGGAUACAGAUGCUGUUGUUCCUGUAACCGCAACGAGAUAUUCGAUAAGCGCUCUCAAGCUACCAACACUGAUGAAUUGGUACCCUUGGUAUGACCAUGGGAAGGUUGGAGGUUGGAGUCAGGUUUACAAAGGACUAACCCUCGUCACCGUGGCAGGUGCAGGGCAUGAGGUACCUCUGCACCGGCCUCGGCAAGCAUUAAUACUAUUCAGACACUUCUUGAAGGACACACCGAUGCCAACUCAAUAG
rnacentral:rRNA from 1 species